UAUUCCAUUCAUUUGGGUGCAGGCACAGGUAGGAGGCGUAUGGCGGUAUUUUUGGCAAGCAUUUUUCUGCUUGCCGAUAAUAUAUGGCAUAUGCCUGGUCUGACGUUAGCCUUAAGGAUUAGUUUCUGUUUUAAAUCUUGAACACUGCCUGAAUGUAUAAUGCUGCCUGUUAAGUUUGGUGGAGGCAGAAUAAUACUCUAUUCUUUAUGGUUACUGCUGGGGCAUCUGGUACUUAAACAACAACCUUAAUUGUACACAAGAAAAUCAUAUUAUACAAGAUUUUCUUUUCCUGGACUGGAACAUGUGGAUUGCCAGAAAAAAAACUUCUCCCCUGGCCGCCAUCUUAAAACUACUGAAGUCUCCACUAUUGGGUGGGAAGUAAUGUCCACUGCCAUGUUCCAGUCCAGGAAAAGAAAAUCUUGGUAAGUAUGAUAUGACUUUCUUGUUUACUGUUCUUUUCACAUAACACUGGGCCGAUAACGGGAUGUACCAAAGGCCAAACAAGAGGACCACGGUUGGGGUAAAGAGAUAAAAAAUUUUCAGCGAGUAGAGCAGACUGGAGGACAGCUGACCCAAAAGAAGCAGACUUCUUAAAAAACACAUCAAAUUUGUAAUGGUUAAAGAAAGUAUGGAAAGAGGACCACGUUGCAGCUUUGCAGAUAUCUUCUGAUGAAGCCCUGGCUUGGAAUGCCCAGGAUGCCGCCAUAGCCCAGGUAGAGUGUGCUCUGACAGAGUAGGGCAUAACACUGGAUUGAGAUAUGUACGCAGUCAGGAUACAUAGCUUGAUCCAAUUGGCAAUAGUAGAAUUGUGGAAGGUUGAGUUCCUGCUCUCUGUCCUGGUUGGAUAAUCAAAAGGGAGUUAGUCUUCCUGAAGGGUUUAACUCUAGAGAGACAGAUCUCGAGACAUCUUUUAACAUCCAAGGUGUGCCAGGCAGCCUCCUGGUCAGAAUUUAGGUGAGAAAAGAAACAAGGCAGAACAAUGUCAUGUGAGAUGUGAAUUGUAAAAUUAUUUUGCUUUCUUUAGGAUGACCCUAUCCUAAAGAAAGAUGAUUUUCCCUUCUGAACUGGAUAAAGCAUGAAUCUCACCAACUCUUCUACCCAAGUUGGUGGAGGAGUUUACUCUCAAUAAAGGCCACAUGCCCUGAGUUCUCAGGUUUCCAAAAUGGGCACCCCAUCCUGUUCUGUUGGCAUCCAUUGUGAUGAUGAUCCAGGACAGAGGAUGAAGACUGACCAGAAUGCUCAAGUUAAAAUUUUUGGACAGGUCCAUGGAAGGAAAUUGACGUGCAGAGCGGAGCCAAGUACCCAGUAACCCAAGAAAUAUCCCAGCAAAGAACGAGUGGGGCGCUGAAGUGACGUCCAGGAAUGGAGCAAUCGAAUUGCUGGGUUGGAAGCUGACAUGCCUGUCUCAGAUCCCCACAUCCAUGGUUCAUUCUGCUGAAGGCGGAGAGAACAGAACCAGAAAAGCACAGGAGAGGAAGAAAAGAGAAAGCGAGUGAUAACCUGCAAAGCAGAAAAAAAGAAGUUUAAAUACUAAAUUAUUAAUAAGUGCUUGCCCAUUCAGUCUUAUAUCCCUCAGCCAUUUUGUUUACUUUCUACCAUACUAUGUACGUGCCUGUUCAAAAUACAGUAAAAACAAAUAUCUCUAUA